rnacentral:rRNA from 1 species
AGUGAACGCUGGCGGUAGGCCUAACACAUGCAAGUCGAACGGCAGCACAGUAAGAGCUUGCUCUUACGGGUGGCGAGUGGCGGACGGGUGAGGAAUACAUCGGAAUCUACUUUUUCGUGGGGGAUAACGUAGGGAAACUUACGCUAAUACCGCAUACGACCUACGGGUGAAAGCAGGGGAUCUUCGGACCCUGCGCGAUUGAAUGAGCCGAUGUCGGAUUAGCUAGUUGGCGGGGUAAAGGCCCACCAAGGCGACGAUCCGUAGCUGGUCUGAGAGGAUGAUCAGCCACACUGGAACUGAGACACGGUCCAGACUCCUACGGGAGGCAGCAGUGGGGAAUAUUGGACAAUGGGCGCAAGCCUGAUCCAGCUAUACCGCGUGGGUGAAGAAGGCCUUCGGGUUGUAAAGCCCUUUUGUUGGGAAAGAAAAGCAGCAGGUUAAUACCCCGCUGUUCUGACGGUACCCAAAGAAUAAGCACCGGCUAACUUCGUG